ACUGCUCAGUAACACGUGGACAACCUGCCCAAAGGUCCGGGAUAACCCCGGGAAACUGGGGAUAAUACCGGAUAAAUCACAAGUACUGGAAGGUUUUGUGGUUGAAACUUCCGGGGCCUUUGGAUGGGUCUGCGGCGGAUUAGGUUGUUGCCGGUGUAACGUACCGUCAAGCCUGUAAUCCGUACGGGUUGUGGGAGCAAGAGCCCGGAGAUGGAUUCUGAGACACGAAUCCAGGCCCUACGGGGCGCAGCAGGCGCGAAAACUCUACAAUGCAGGCAACUGCGAUAGGGGAACAUCGAGUGAUACUCAUCUUGGGUGUCUGUCCUCCCGUCUAAAAAACGGGAGUUAGCAAGGGCCGGGCAAGACCGGUGCCAGCCGCCGCGGUAAUACCGGCGGCUCGAGUGGUGGCCGAUAUUAUUGAGUCUAAAGGGUCCGUAGCCGGCUUUGCAAGUCUUUUGGGAAAUCCAGCGGCUUAACCGUUGGUCGUCCGGGAGAUACUACAUUGCUUGGGACUGGGAGAGGUAGGAGGUACUCAGGGGGUAGGAGUGAAAUCCUGUAAUCCUUUGGGGACCACCGGUGGCGAAGGCGUCCUACCAGAACAGGUCCGACGGUGAGGGACGAAAGCUAGGGGCACGAACCGGAUUAGAUACCCGGGUAGUCCUAGCCGUAAACGAUGCUCGCUAGGUGUCACAACAAUCGUGAAUUGUUGUGGUGCCGUAGGGAAGCCGUGAAGCGAGCCACUUGGGAAGUACGACCGCAAGGUUGAAACUUAAAGGAAUUGGCGGGGGAGCAC
rnacentral:rRNA from 1 species